rnacentral:rRNA from 1 species
GUANGUGAACCUGCGGAAGGAUCAUUA